GUCUUCUCAACCAGCAACUGGGGGGCAGAGGGCACAGGUCAGGUCAAGGCCAUCUGGGAGGUGGCCACCCACCCAUCACUCCUGGUUCCAUGUUACAGGGAAGGUGCUGAAGCAAGGACGAGGGGGAACCAGGAUUCAAGCCCGAGUCUGCUGUUCCUCAGAGCUCAAACUCGGGUCAUGACCUUCUGAGGCUGCAUGUCAGCCUCUGGGUCAGUGGUUAACUUUUCCUGGCCUCCAGCUCUUCCACUGUGAAAUGGGAGAAGUCGUCCCGGAAUGGGGAGGGGAAGAGGAAGAAAGGGGAAGGAAAAGGUUCAAGGGUGACCAACGGUCCAGGUGGGCCAGGAACCUAGGGGUUUUCUGGGAUGCGGGACUUUUGAUGCUAAAGCCAGGGCUGACCCCAGCAAACCAGGACUGGGUUGUCUCCCCAGAGGCAUCCCUUCACCAUUUCUGGGCCCCAUGGAUCCUCUCUUCCACACUCACUCACAUACGAAUAAAGCCAAGCCUGCCUAAGCCCAGACGGCUCAAGAACACGUCGGGCUCACUGCUCUGCCUCUGGCCACUGCACCCCUGGGGCAGCACCCGAGGGAACCCCUCAGCUCACCCGCAGCAGCCCUCAAGGUCUAGGCCUGAGGCCUUGCAGAGGCAGAGACUUCUGUGAAGAAAUCCAGGCCCACGGCCCCACUGCCCUGUCGGAGGAGGCUGGUGAGGUCCAGCCGUCCCCUCCUUCCUCGGCCGGAGCUUGGGCUGGGCUGCUGCCUGCGGCCUCAGGCCUGGCGGCAGCAGCUCCCCACCACACGACAAAGGACACAGCUGUGUUACCUGUCCACCGUGCUUGAGGCAGGAGGCCCCUAAGGCUUGUCCCAAACCCUUUUCUCUCUAGGUCCCCAGACCCCAGGGUCAGGUGUGAUCCAGGCCCAGAGGUUCCGAGAUGGCCUCCUCAUGGAGGUCACACCACUGGGGGCUUCUGGAGCCUGAGGGAGGCCCUUGGAUCUGGUGGGUCAGAUUCCUAGACCCUUGGGCCGCAUCCAGUACCUGUGAAUUGCCCAAAGUAAUUAUUCCUGUUUGCACCACAGUGGCUUCCCCAAAAGGUGGGCAGCGCAGACAGGCAGGCUGCCCAGUCCCUUGCAUGGGUCCAGCACACAGCAGAUGUUCAGUUAACAUCUGUCGACUACCUGCCUGGCUGGACCAGCCCCGCAGGUUCCAGGUUCUGGCCCUCCUCGGGCCCUGUCCAGCUAAGUCACAGCCUCCUACAUUUGAGGGUACCUUGCUGCACUGCAAAGACAUCAGCUCCCUGACGCCGUGCACCUGUCUGGAAGCCUUCGGAUGAAACCCCAGUCCUGUGCAUCCACAGCCCACCCCUCCCCUUCAUGCCAGUCCUUCCGGUCACCUGAACGAGAGGAUCUACCCUGGACCUUGGGAUGAGCCUCAGGGAGCCUCCAGGGGCAACCUGCUGACAGAUAUGCCCUGGGUUUCACCCUUCACAUCCAGCAGCCCAGGACAGCACCCAUGCUCUCCCCACCCCCUCUCUCACCACCACCUCUCUUGAGUUCUCCCCCAACACCUCCUUCCCCCCAGCCAAGCAGCCACCCAUCUGCUCGUCUGUCUCGGGGCUGCUGGCCCGUCCAGGCCUGAUCCAUCUAAUGGGGAUAAGAUGCCAACCCCCUCCCAUCUCCAUCCACUGACUCAUUGUGAUUCAUCUUCUGGGACCAACCCCUAUUACAUAGAUGGGGAAACUGAGGCUCAGAAUGGGAGGGUCCCACAGCAAGCAAGAGCAGAGCUCCUAGACUCUUAGCUCUGCUAAGGCCACCCAAUCUGUGCUGGACUAGACACUAUUCCACGUGGAACUAUUUCUUGGCCUUUAAUGACUUAAAAAGCAGGAUGAGGCAUGUGGGGACCCUCCCACCCAGGGGACCAGCUGUGCUUCCCCAGACCCCAUCACCACCUCCGGCGACCUGCACCCUCCUUCCCAGAGCUGCUGCCACCUGCGAGUCGGUGAGGGGUCAGGGUGCAAUUGGCUGUAACGGGUUCCUCAGGGCCUCCAGGGGCCAGGCAGUGGUGGGGAAGUGGCUUGGAUAAGGACCUGGCAAUGUCGGACCUGUUGUGGGGUACCCACCCUAGGGCACAGGGUUCUGGUCCACUGUUCCCCCUUCACAGAAUGCCCUCCAGUGCCUGCCUGCCAUGGGGCAAGGGCAAUGCCCGACACUUCCCUUGUGCAGAUCUGGUCCCAGGAUCCAGUGAGGACCCCUCUGGCCUCAGCAGGGGAAGAAGGGUUAAUUUAGGGGGUAGUGCUGCCCCAAAGACUCCAUUUCCAAGGGAAUACUCCCAGCCCAGCCAGCACCAUCCUUGGCCCUUGAGGGGCCCAAGAACCUUACAACCAGGCAGCCUGACUGGACUUCCUUGACCGGGUACAUAGAUGCUGCCUAAGUCCAUAACUGGCAGCCCCUCAGCAGGGCGCAGCUACCCCCAGCCUAGUACCUCCCACACAGGGCCACCAGCUGUGUCUGCCUCUCCGGCCAGAUGUGCUAGCUCCCUGAAGCUGCAGAUGCCCCUCCCCAUCUGGUUGUGCCAGCUGCAGCCACACACCCCACCCCCAAGUCCAGGCCAGCCCAGCUAAGAUACAAGACAAGGGGAGUGGUCAGGCACUUGCGUUGCCAGGGCGUUUCAUGCCCUCAACCCUCCCCCCAAGCCAGGCUGGGGGAAGGCCAGGUGCCAGGGACACCUGCCGAGGCUGCCUUACCAUGGUCAGACCCUUCCACUCCUAAGGGGCACUCUGCCUCACUGUCAUGAAACCACCAGAUUCCUACCCUGCCCUGGCAUCUCCCUGGAGGCCCUAGGAUGAAACCUGGGCGUCCAUCUGCACACCCUACUCCUAUGUCAAUCCUUCCAUCGCUGGGCAGCAGUGGGUGGGCCCAGACUGAGCAAGGGGGCACAGGCUCAUGACUUCCAGCCUCCUCCUUUUAGGGAGGAGGUGUCUAUGCCAGCCUCCUCUCAACUCAGGCCAUCCGUCCUUCCGGAGAAACAGGCCCAGAGAGGGCGGGAGACCGGCCCAAGGUCACACAGGAGUUUGGACCAGAGCUGCAGGCGUCCCCCACAUUCCGCUCGGCCCAGGAGCCCCGAAUCCCCAGGCAGGGCGUCUCCAGCGCCCACGUGGCCCAAGGCCCAGGCGGGAAUCCGACCUCCUCCCUCCCCCCAUCACCCAGUCCGAGGGCGGUGCCGUCCGGGCUCAGAGAAGCGCCCCCCUCCGCCAGUGCCUAGCAGGACCUCAGCCUCUCGUGCCCGGGCCCCAACCCCAGGAAUUUAACCCCUUCCCCGCCGACGGCCGCGUCAGAGCGCCGCAUUCCCAGCCCGCAAGGACCCAGAGAAGGGGUCGGGGAGACCCGAAGAGGGGUCACCUCAGCUGGAUGACAACAGAGCCUGGAAGAAACGUGGAGUUGGCAGGGGAAGCAAGACCAAGCACCAUCACUGGUUCUCUGCGUAGGUGAACAUUUCUGCCUGACGUUCUCUCUAGCUCCACCUCGUGCCCUACCUACCACUAAUACUCGGCCAGAAGACGAAAACAAGCCACAGACGGAUGAGAUGAGGUCUCUUCACUGGCUGGGUCAGCAAGGAGACUCAAUGUCUCCUUUUCCAUUUCAGAAAGACUAUUUGAAGUCUGGAUGAAUAAAGAAGGAUGAAACAUGCACAGACUCAAACUUAGACUAAGUAUAUAUUUUAAUGUCUACAAGGCCCCCCUUUCCAGUUUUAGGGAAAUUUAAAUGAAGUGUAUACAAAUCAGACAUUACCAAUAUGUACAAAAGUAUUUUCUACAGUUUUUGAACAAUACCAGCUAUAUCAUGUUUCAUUUGCAGUAAACAGGACAUUACAAAACCAGUCCAAUAAUGCCUUGUCUAUUAAGAAGCACAAUACACAUAAUUCAAUUUUAUUUAAAAAGUAACUUAAAAUA